rnacentral:rRNA from 1 species
GACGAACGCUGGCGGCGUGCUUAACACAUGCAAGUCGAACGGAAAGGCCCUGCUUUUGUGGGGGGCUCGAGUGGCGAACGGGUGAGUAACACGUGAGUAACCUGCCCUUGACUUUGGGAUAACUUCAGGAAACUGGGGCUAAUACCGGAUAGGAGCUCCUGCUGCAUGGUGGGGGUUGGAAAGUUUCGGCGGUUGGGGAUGGACUCGCGGCUUAUCAGCUUGUUGGUGGGGUAGUGGCUUACCAAGGCUUUGACGGGUAGCCGGCCUGAGAGGGUGACCGGCCACAUUGGGACUGAGAUACGGCCCAGACUCCUACGGGAGGCAGCAGUGGGGAAUAUUGCACAAUGGGCGGAAGCCUGAUGCAGCGACGCCGCGUGCGGGAUGACGGCCUUCGGGUUGUAAACCGCUUUCGCCUGUGACGAAGCGUGAGUGACGGUAAUGGGUAAAGAAGCACCGGCUAACUACGUG